rnacentral:rRNA from 1 species
UGGGGAAUAUUGGGCAAUGGGCGAAAGCCUGACCCAGCAACGCCGCGUGAGUGAUGAAGGCCUUCGGGUUGUAAAACUCUUUGGACAGGGACGAAGAAAGUGACGGUACCUGUAGAACAAGCCACGGCUAACUACGUGCCAGCAGCCGCGGUAAUACGUAGGUGGCGAGCGUUAUCCGGAUUUACUGGGCGUAAAGGGCGUGUAGGCGGCUAGAUAAGUGUGAUGUUUAAAUCCAAGGCUUAACCUUGGGGUUCAUUACAAACUGUUUCGCUUGAGUGCUGGAGAGGAUAGUGGAAUUCCUAGUGUAGCGGUAAAAUGCGUGGAUAUUAGGAGGAGCACCGGUGGCGAAGGCGGCUAUCUGGACAGUAACUGACGCUGAGGCGCGAAAGCGUGGGGAGCGAACAGG